rnacentral:rRNA from 1 species
GAUGAACGCUGGCGGCGUGCCUAAUACAUGCAAGUCGAGCGAACAGACGAGGAGCUUGCUCCUCUGACGUUAGCGGCGGACGGGUGAGUAACACGUGGAUAAUCUACCUAUAAGACUGGGAUAACUUCGGGAAACCGGAGCUAAUACCGGAGAAUAUAUUGAACCGCAUGGUUCAAUAGUGAAAGACGGUUUUGCUGGCACUUAUAGAUGGAUCCGCGCCGCAUUAGCUAGUUGGUAAGGUAACGGCUUACCAAGGCGACGAUGCGUAGCCGACCUGUGAGGGGGAUCGGCCACACUGGAGCUGGAACGGGGUCCAGGCUCCUGCGGGAGGCAGCAGUAGGGAAUGUUCGGCAGAGGGCGAGAGCCUGGCGGAGCGACGCCGCGUGAGUGAUGAAGGUCUUCGGAUCGUAAAGCUCUGUUAUUAGGGAAGAACAAAUGUGUAAGUAACUAUGCACGUCUUGACGGUACCUAAUCAGAAAGCCACGGCUAACUACGUG